GUGUGUGGUAGUGAAUCAUACUCUCAAAUCAGUGAUUCCCAAUUUCUGACUUUGGAACCACUAUGGUUUCAAGAGCAACAACAUAUUUGCAAAAAGAAUUAGUUCAAAAUUUAUCUAAAAUAUGUCUGUGUGCCAUAUGGCUCUGUUCCUUGGUUUGAUGGACUUGUUUUUUCCCCCUAUGGUGCAAUGAACAAAGGGCAAAGGUGGUGCCAAAAUGAAUGGCUUUGGGUUGAUAUCCUUAGGAGCCUGGAAAUCUUUGCAGUUCUGUUAUCUAGACAAAUGCUGCCUGUGCCUGGAGGUAGUGGACCUACCAGAGGCAAUAAUAAUAGCCAACGGCUAGAUACAUAGAUUAUACUGGAGUAAUCGCUGAGUGAUGGUUUUAUGAUACUGAUAUGCAAUUAAAGGCAGAAGUUAGUUUCUUCUUGAGAUGCCUUUUUGCUGAAUGUUACCAUUUUUCCUUUCCCAAAGUUGUACAGAAAAGGGUCCUUCUUUUUUACUUAACUAUACUCUGCAUUCUACUCUUCCUGUGUUGGGUUUCUACUAGAGUGAAACCUAGAGAGUUUCUAUUAGAGCCUGUGGAGACCACCAAGUUUAGAAUGAGGCAGUCCAGAUACUCUAGGGGUAGGGGACAUUGAGGACCUUGUUGGAUGCAGACCUUCUAGUUCUGUCCCCAUGCAUCUGUCCUGGUACUGCACUUUAACUGAAUCUGUGCCUCUAGACCAGAUGCUGGAGCAUAUCACUUGCCCACUCCUCUGUUAUAGUAAAGGACCAACUGGGCUGGUACAUGCUGUGUAAUCAAACACCUAGAAGACAAGUACAGUUGAUGUUUCUCACUGUUGCCUUAUCAUUCUCUGAGCCAUCUUUGAAGCUGAUCUUGUUAAAAAAAAAAAAAAAAACUAGUUAGUAGCAAAACUCCUUUAAAUACAAAGCUUGUAUGUGGUGGUCAUUUAGCAUCUUUAUUUCUAGAUUUGUAUAAACUAUCUACUGUAAUCUUUUUCUUGCACAUGUAUGUGGUCAGAUCCUUCAUAAUCAUGAGUCAGGUUGAAAAUAUUGGACAUAAUUCCAAACUGGUGUUAUUUGGGAUGACUGCAUAAUCUGUCAUAGAGAUUCUGUGAGAUAGAAGACAACUUCAUUUGUAAUGUAAUACAUUUUUUAAAAAGAUGAUCUUUAAUUUUUUGGGUCCUUUAUGUGUACAGCGAUACACCAUACUAUAGCAUAGGAACUUAAUGUCUGAUCUGCUUAAAUCCCUUCUUCACUUUUCUAAGACCUCUCUGCCCUCCCACCCUGAAGUCUUAAAAAACCAUUUUCAUCUGUGCGGUCACUGAGACGCUGAACUUGACUAUCGUGGUAAACUUUAUGGGGAGUUGAACUGUUGAUCUUCCAAGAAGAAAGGGACCAGACAGUGUUGCUUGAGAUGCUGCAGUUGAGUUACUGUGAAGAAAAGAUUUGCUUCCACUUUCAGCAGGUUAUAUAUCUAUAUCUAUAUCUAUAUUUUCAUUUUGGUAAAUAAAAAGGGUUAAAAAAUCUGAGAGCAUAAUUACCUUCACAAAUUAUUCAUAGAUAUACUGGGUGAGAAGCUUACUGUAAGGCAGUCACUAAGAAAAAACUAAUUUUACUGCUUCAACAGUAUAAUAUUUGUAUCUAGUAUCGUGCCAGCAAGGUCUGCUGUGUACUGUCUCCUAUUACUGUAAAUCACCUGGUUUAUAAUUCUAAUGGAAACAAAUUUGUUUUGUAAUGGAAUUCAGAAAAGAUAUGUAUAAUAUGAUCAGGAUUGUCCUACAGUUGUAAAUAAGAAUAGGUCCUGUUUAUUUUGACAUCUUUUUACAAAUGCGUUGUAUUAGGGUGUGAAUAUUCUGAACCAUGCUCUUGUUUAAAGUUUUGAAAUUUUUAUUGUUAAAUGUAACAUUUUAAUGGUUGUAAUAAUUAUUUGUAUAGAUAUGAAUAUAGUAUUUUAUUUAAGAAAAUAAACUUUGCAGCUUUUUGCAUUGUGAA
rnacentral:lncRNA from 1 species